rnacentral:rRNA from 1 species
GUGAACAAUUAAGGGCGCGCGGUGGAUGCCUAGGCUCUCGGAGGCGAAGAAGGACGCGAUAAGCCGCGAUAGUCCACGGCGAGGUGCAAGUAACCCUUGACCCGUGGGUUUCCGAAUGGGGCAACCCGGCCGUCUAGAUGACGGUCAUGCAUUAUCAUGCAGGCGAACGCGGGGAACUGAAACAUCUCAUUACCCGCAGGAGAAGAAAACAAAAUGUGAUUCCCCCAGUAGUGGCGAGCGAACGGGGAAGAGCCCAAACCGGUAGCGUUUCGGCGAUACCGGGGUCAUGGGACCACGCCAUUCGAAACAAGAUGAAGUGCAAUUACCUGGAAAGGUAAGCCGCGGAGGGUGAUAGCCCCGUGCACGUCAAUUCUUGUGGAGAUAGUGGAAUCCCGAGUAGGGCGGGACACGAGAAAUCCUGCCUGAAUUCGCCAGGACCUCCUGGCAAGGCUAAAUACUCCCGAGAGACCGAUAGUGAACCAGUACCGCGAGGGAAAGGUGAAAAGUACCCCGAGCAGGGGGGUGAAAUAGACCCUGAACCCGCGCGCCUACAAGCGGUCGGAGCUGCCUUGUGCAGUGACGGCGUGCCUUUUGCAUAAUGAGCCUACGAGUUAGUCGUCACCAGCGAGGUUAAGGGCUUCAGGCCCGUAAGCCGAAGUGAAAGCGAGCCUUAACAGGGCGUUAAGUUGGUGGCGCUAGACGCGAAACCUUGUGAUCUACCCACGAGCAGGUUGAAGUCGCGGUAACACGUGAUGGAGGACCGAACCGGUAAACGUUGAAAAGUUUUCGGAUGACUCGCGGGUAGGGGUGAAAGGCCAAUCAAACUGGGAAAUAGCUCGUACUCUCCGAAAUGCAUUUCGGUGCAGCCUGUGAUGUUCUGUUCCAGAGGUAGAGCUACUGGUUGGACGCGAGGGCUUCACCGCCUAUCAAAUCCGGAUAAACUCCGAAUGCUGGAACACGAAAUCAUGGAGUGAGCCCGCGGGUGCUAAGGUCCGCGGACGAGAGGGAAAGAACCCGGACCACCGGCUAAGGUCCCGGAUGGACAGUUAAGUUGAUCAAACGAGGUGGGAUCGCUGAGACAGCUAGGAUGUUGGCUUGGAAGCAGCCAUUCAUUUAAAGAGUGCGUAACAGCUCACUAGUCGAGCGAUCCCGCGUGGAUAAUACACGGGCAUUAAACUGUCAACCGAAGCCGUGGGGUCAGCGAAAAGCUGACCGGUAGGAGAGCAUUCCUGCCAGCGUUGAAGGUCACCCGCGAGAGUGACUGGAGCGGCAUGAAAAGCAAAUGUAGGCAUAAGUAACGAUAAUGGGGGCGAGAACCCCCCACGCCGCAAGACCAAGGCUUCCCCGGCAAUGUCAAUCAGCCGGGGGUCAGCCGGCCUCUAAGGCUAACCCGAACGGGGAUGCCGACGAGAAACGGGUUAACAUUCCCGUGCUUCUCGUCACCGUGACGCGGUGACGGGGUGAUGAAUGGACCGCGCGCUGACGGAAUAGCGCGUUGAAGGCCGUACCCUUCGAGGGUGGUAGUCAAGCACGCCACCCGAGGCGAUAGCCGAUAGUACCACGAGACUCCGGUCGAGUGGAUAGCGUCCAGGCAAUUUACCCCCGAGAAAACCCGCUAAACUUCAAGUGACGAGGAACCGUACUGUAAACGGACACACGUGGUCGGGUAGAACAUACCAAGGCGCUCGAGUGAUUCAUGGUCAAGGAACUAGGCAAAAUAGUCCUGUAACUUCGGGAAAAAGGACGCUCUAGUGAUAGAGCCGCAGAGUAAUGGCCCAGGCGACUGUUUACCAAAAACACAUGGCUAUGCCAAAUCGAAAGAUGACGUAUAUGGCCUGACACCUGCCCGGUGCCGGAAGGUUAAGAGGAGAGCUCAUCGGAAACGAGAAGGUUUGAAUUGAAGCCCCGGUAAACGGCGGCCGUAACUAUAACGGUCCUAAGGUAGCGAAAUUCCUUGUCGGGUAAGUUC